rnacentral:rRNA from 1 species
UACGGAGGAUCCAAGCGUUAUCCGGAUUUAUUGGGUUUAAAGGGUGCGUAGGCGGGUUAUUAAGUCAGUGGUGAAAGCCUUCAGCUUAACUGAAGAACUGCCAUUGAUACUGAUGAUCUUGAGUAUGAUUAGGUGGGCGGAAUGUGUCAUGUAGCGGUGAAAUGCUUAGAUAUGACACAGAACACCGAUUGCGAAGGCAGCUCACUAAGCCAAUAACUGACGCUGAUGCACGAAAGCGUGGGGAGCAAACAGG